rnacentral:rRNA from 1 species
GUAUAAGUACUAGCCGGCUCUUUAUUAAUUUAAAGAGCGAAAUGGUGAAACCGCGAAAAGCUCAUUAAAUCGGCUUUCGUUACUUAGAUAAUUCGCAGUAAGUAAUUUUUUUCGUAUGAAAAAAAUUAAAUCACUGAUAUGGAUAACUGUGGUAAUUCUAGAGCUAAUACAUGAAAAAUUAGAAAUUUAGUGCGAAAAUCCNGUGCCGCGUUGUUCUUCCGAGCAAAUCUCUGCUCGGACCACAAUGCGUUGUACUGGUACGAUUUUUGCACGCUUUUAUUAGAGUAAAAAGCCAACUGAAAAGCACGUUCGUGUUUUGGAGCGAUCCAGUUCGCGAACGUGUCUAACGAAUAUGAAUCCUUUUUAUUGCAAACUGGAUUUCAGAAAUGUUGAAUCUGAAUAACUUGAACGAAUCGUUCUCGAAAUCUAGUAGGCUCGCGACCGUAAAAAGUUGUGAUCUAUUAGCGAUUAGAGAGCGAUUUAAAGCAGACCGCAAAAUUUAAUGGUCCGGGCUUUUUCAGCUUGUGAUCGAAUUGCGGCGUGUCUUUCAAUUGUCUGCCUUAUCAACUGUCGAUGGUAGAUUAUAUGUCUACCAUGGUUGUAACGGGUAACGGGGAAUCAGGGUUCGAUUCCGGAGAGGGAGCCUGAGAAACGGCUACCACAUCUAAGGAAGGCAGCAGGCACGCAAAUUACCCAUUCCCGGCACGGGGAGGUAGUGACGAAAAAUAACGAUCCGGAACUCGAAUGAGUUUCCGUAAUCGGAAUGAGUACAAUUUAAAUCCUUUAACGAGGAACUAAUGGAGGGCAAGUCUGGUGCCAGCAGCCGCGGUAAUUCCAGCUCCAUUAGCAUAUAUUAAAAUUGUUGCGUUAAAAAAGCUCGUAGUGAAUCUCUAUCUCAUACUGUCAAACGCCCAUAAUAUUUACUUAUGCGGUAUGUUUUUGACAAAAUUUUCUAAUGGUAUGAGAUAUGCAAACUGGUGGAUUUUUAAAAAAUUUGUACCGUCGCGGCGAGUUUGCUUGCCAAGUUCGUUGCACGGCGAAAUUUUUAAAUUCGAUGCGGAUCGGUCGGCUUGUUUCUGGAGUCGUCCGAACGCGAACCGAAAUUUCGGCAACGUUAAGUUCCAUUCGACGGACAUCUCGUUUGUCGAUUGGAAUGUUGUCAACAAUUUCGUUCGUUGUCUCGGCGUCUCGCUGAAUGGAAAUAUGAUCGAUUCGUAUUCUAAUUGUCGAUAUCGAAAUGGAUUUCGGAAUUUUUUUCGUUCCAUUGUCGACAUAUUUAGACCAGUUAAAUUACUUUGAACAAAUUAGAGUGCUUAAAGCAGGCUACAUUAUGUGCCUUGAAUAUAAACAGCAUGGAAUAAUAGAAUAUGAUCUCGAUACUGUUUGUUGAACUGUUUCGCGAUUGGCCCACGUGCUUUUGCCCGUGCGCGCUGUGUGAAACACUAGGUUGGCUUAAAGAAUUGAAUAUUAUUUGAAUAUUGUAUUCAAAAUAGAGGAAUCCGGUCUAGGCAAUUUGUUCGAUCGAAUUUUUCGGGGCUUGCGAUGUCCGUCUACGCGUUGCAUACAAACGCGUUCCUGCGGCCAUUGUGCACAGGAUCGUUUGCUCGCGUGCAAAGGGCGGCGCGCGUUUACGGGUCUCGGAAUCUUUAACGAUCGGACGCUACAAAUUGUCUUUUUAGUGUCGGUUGUUUUCUAUNUANGAUAUUCAAUUUCGACAG